rnacentral:tRNA from 1 species
GUAGUCCUAGCUGAGAUGGAUUAGCGCUUGCUUGAAAAGCAAGAGAGGCAGGUUCGAUACCUGCGGACUCCAUAGCAACAAA